rnacentral:tRNA from 1 species
GUAAAGAAAGGUGAGUAAUGAAAAAUAAAGGUAAAAAGCUGUUAUGUAAAUUAUGUUGCCGGCGAAUACCGGCAUGGGGGUUCGAAUCCCCCUCUCUCCGCCA